GAUGAAGAACGCAGCGAAAUGCGAUAAGUAAUGUGAAUUGCAGAAUUCAGUGAAUCAUCGAAUCUUUGAACGCACAUUGCGCCCCCUGGUAUUCCGGGGGGCAUGCCUGUUCGUGCGUCAUUUCACCACUCAAGCCUCGCUUGGUAUUGGGCAACGCGGUCCGCCGCGUGCCUCAAAUCGACCGGCUGGGUCUUCUGUCCCCUAAGCGUUGUGGAAACUAUUCGCUAAAGGGUGUUCGGGAGGCUACGCCGUAAAACAACCCCAUUUCUAAGGUUGACCUCGGAUCAGGUAGGGAUACCCGCUGAACUUAAGCAUAUCAAUAAGCGGAGGA
rnacentral:misc_RNA from 1 species